rnacentral:rRNA from 1 species
AUGCACGCUGACAGAAUGCUUAACACAUGCAAGUCGAUGGGGAAGUGGUGCUUGCACCAUGGUAACCAUGGCGGACGGGUGAGUAACGCGUAAGGAACUUACCUGCGGGACCGGGAUAACAGCAGGAAACUGCUGACAAGACCGGAUAAGGUCAUUAAGCUGCAUAGCUUAGUGAUGAAAGGAGACGCCUGCGGAGAGCCUUGCGUCCUAUUAGCUAGUUGGAGGGGUAACGGCCCACCAAGGCGAAGAUAGGUAGCCGGCCUGAGAGGGUGGACGGCCACAAGGGGACUGAGAUACGGCCCUUACUCCUACGGGAGGCAGCAGUGGGGAAUAUUGGACAAUGGGGGCAACCCUGAUCCAGCAAUUCUGUGUGCACGAAGACGGUUUUCGGAUUGUAAAGUGCUUUCAGCAGGGAAGAAGGAAGUGACGGUACCUGCAGAAGAAGCGACGGCUAAAUACGUG